GUAAAAAUUGAGUUGAGACGAAAACGCGAGUUUUAAAAAGAAAUUUCAUUUUUCUAAUGGAAACAAAGUCGAAGAGUAAUGGAGGAUGCUUUUAAACCUUUGUCUUCGUGACGAUUGUCAGAGUUGAGAGAAUAAAAAAUAACAGGAUGCUAUAUGUCAGGCGAUGAUGGAGUCUUUAUUAUGUAUAAAAAUGCAAAAGCAACUCUUUGCAGGAUAAAAAUGUCUUAUGCAGUUUUAUAAUGACGUGGCAUAAUUUUGUCCUUAGAUUUAUUUAUUGAUGAUGUGUCCUUUAAUCUUACCGUUAACAGUCUCCUCUAUUUUAUAGAAAAAAAUAGCCCUAACCUUUUAAAUUUCCCAUUUUACUCACAAUUUCUCCAGAAUCACCUAAGAAAUGAACUAGGAUUAGGGUUUUGAGGAAUCGAUGCAACAAAGAAAGAAAACCGUGGACGAUUUCAGGGACUCGGUACCGAAAUCGGUGAGCGAUACGGUGAACGGGUCACACCAGUUCACGACCAAGGUUACUCGUUGGCGAAAGGGAUGGGACAUGUGAAAUGUAUAGCCGGCGAUGUUUUUACUGUCGGUGGUUACGAUUGGGCGAUUUACUUUUACCCCGACGGUGAAAACCUGGAGGAUAGUGCGAUGUAUGUUUCGGUUUUCAUUGAUUUGGCCAAUGAAGGUGCCGGUGUUCGAGCACUUAUCGAGCUCACCGUGUGGACCGGAGUGGGAAAGGGAAGCACGAGAUUCAUAGUCACUUUGUUCGGGCGUUGGAGAGUGGGCUUUACACGUUGAAGUACAGAGGGAGCAUGUGGUAAGAAAUUGAGUUUUGGAAGUUAGGGUUUGGUUCAUAAUUUUAUUUUUUAUUUUUUAAAUAUAUUUAUUUGAGUGUUUAGAGAAUGAAUUUGAUAGUUUAUAAGGUAAUUGUUGUUUUUAUAUACAUUAUAAUUAUUAAAUGGGUUUAUGUUCUCUGCCUCUGAUAGCAUUUGAUCCCUAAAUCUCAAUGGCUAACAUGCAUGCAUUUAACCAUCAAGACACAAGGAAUUAAAGUUAUUAAAUGGGUGUAUGUUGGUGAAUUGUGAUCGGAAAUGGAGGUUUGAGGUUUAGCGUAUAUGAAACUGUUUAUAUGCCUUUGUUUGAUGAAUUGGUAAACAGAUGCACUUUUAGGACAUGGGUAGGACUGGUAGUUUACAUUUUUUGCCAUUUUUUACAUUUAAUUUUGUGGAUCUAAGUAUCACACUGAAAUUUAUUUAAAGUGCCACAAUAAGUAUCAACUCAUAUAAGUUAAAAAUUAUCGAGAUCGGAGCAAAUAAUGAGGGGAUACAGCUUCCCUUGAGAUUGGGCAUCGAAAUUAGGUAGGGAAAUUAGGGUUUUAGAUAUAACUAGAGGGAAACUUAAUUCCUUUGAAGUGUUGGAAUUUUUCUCAGCCGAUGGUCAAUCCAAACAAAGAUGAAUAUUUUGGAGAAUUUGUUGGCUUAAGACAGAUUGUAAUGUGUGAAGAACUUGGAGAUCUUCUGAAGGGUUGAGGAAGGCAGCUCAAAUGGGAAAUAUUGAUGCCUUGUAAAGCCUAUCAGAUUUGGGGAAAUUAUUUUCUCCUCUGGAUCAGUAUAUCAAAGUUUCAUGGUUAAAUGGCAUCCUUGGUUACACUCCUAACAAUGUCUACAGGUCUUUGAAAUUGGUCUAGUUACUUUUCUGGAUCUGGCUGAUGUCAUUUUGGCAAACAGAAUUUUCAACCUUUAUGAUCAAGCUCAAAUUGCUUGACUUGCUUGAGUAAAUUGAGAAGCAUUUGCAUUGUCGAAGAAAGACAACCUUUACAAAGAUGCUAUGUAAAUCUCCAGUGGCUGGUGAUCAUGAACUUGCCAGUAAGUUGCUUGUAUGCUUUACUGAAAAGGAAAGUGCAUAUUAAAGUUGUUGUAGCUUUUGUAGAAAAUGGGGAGUUUGACAAAAUCUUGAUUAAAUCAAAAUAGCCUAUCAGAUUUAGGGAGAUUAUUUUCUCCUCUAGAUCAGCAUCAGAGAUUCAUUAGUAAAUGGCAUCCUCAAGUUGGUUACAAUGUGUUUCUUCUGCAAAAAGUUACCUGUAGAAAUCUGCAGGUUAGUUACUGUUUUCUGCAGCUUUUAGUAUUUGAGGUUUGGAAGUUUGUGGAAUCAUAAGUACAAUCGAUAAACAAGUUAAAAUGUGUUAAAUAUUUAAAUUAAAGCCUUUUAAGUCAAUUUUAUAAAUAUUCUUAUCAAAUUAAAAUCUCUUUUUAGCAUUUUCUAAUUAAUAGAUGUUAGUAGUUUGGAAAUGUUUGAAGGGAUAUGAUUUUUGUAUGGAGAAACUAUUUUUCAUUAAGGACAAUGUGUUAUAUAAGUUUGGGUGUAUGCGAAAAUUGCCCAAAAUUUGAAAAUUUUUUUCAAAUUUUCUUUGAUUUUUGCCUUGAAAUUAAGCUUAACAUUUAGUAACUUGAAUUAUUACUAUGCUUUCUUUGAUUAGUUCUCCAUGAAGCCAAUGAUAGGUAGUGAUUGAGAAUGAAUAUAGCUUUAGGAAAGAUUGAAUAUGUGUGAAAUAUGAGAUGAUACUUAGGUCUAGUGAAUUCUUGAAUAUGGUAUUUGUUUGUGAGUGAUGCUUUUGAACAUUGAAUUACAUUUUUUUUUUAUCCAGUAUUGAUUAUGUGAGCAUGAGAUUGUUUUUGCAUUGGUCUUUAAAGUUGUGUUUCAUGAUUCUAGAAUUUGUUUUGAUCAUUUUUCGUGGUGAAAUUCUAGGGGACACAUGAUUAAGGAAAUGAUAUAGGCCAUCAUUGGAUCGUUUGAGCCUUUCAAUACAACCUUGAUAUAUUAUUUCCAUAGUCACCCCAUAUGAGUCUUAUGAUGCCUUUUCUUUGUUUUGAAACCACAUUACAAGCCUAUAGACUUAUUUUGUAUAUUUCCUAUCUUUUUUAUCCUUUACCCUAUAUAUGCAUUAGGACAUUCAUCCUCCAUUUAUGAGCUAUACAUUAUUAGGGAGGAAGGAUGGAGCUUGGAAUAAGAAUGGGAAAAUAAAAAAAAAUAAAAAAAACCAAAAGAGAAAGAAAAAGUCAAUCUUACAAAAGAAAAAAAAAAAGAAAAAGUUGUGAAAAAGAAAAGAAAAACAAAAGUAAUAAAGUGGUGCAAAAGCAAAGAAAAGAAGGAAAGAAAGAAAAAUUUGCACAAUCAAAGUUUGGGGGGAUUCUUUAGUCAAGCUUACUUUUCUUACUUGGGAAGCUUAACUUUGGAUGAUCCUAGACAUGUGAUGCAUUGUUAGGGUACUUGAGUUUAAAUGACUUUUAUCAUACCUUGACCUUAGUCUUACAUUACAAGCUUAAUAAAGUCUUAAAUGAUCCUUGGUCAUGUGUUUAUCUACAUUAGUGGAGAGAGAUGUGAUAAGGAAACUUAUGGAACAUGAGCAUGUUUUAUUGAUAAUUGUUACUAAAGUUUCAUGUUUUGCAUAACAUUAUUAGAUUUCAUGCAAGAAUAUAUGAGAGAUGUUGCUUGCUUGUGGAACCAUAGUUAAGAAUGAUCUUAGUCUAGGUAGAUUCUUGUAUAUUAUCACUUGUUCAUGAUUUUACUUUGGUUAUAUUCAUUGAUCAAUUCAUGAAGCAUUCAUAUUGAAUAAGGCAUUGAGAGUAUAGUAUGAUUCUUGCUCAAUCUUGUUUUGCUUAAGGACAAGCAAAAGCUUAAAUUUGGGGGCUUGAUUGCACUAAAAUUUUAGCUUUUUCAAGCUCAUUUUUAGUGCAAUUUUCUUUACAUUUUGGCUUGUUCCUUGGGAUUUUUGGCAAAAAUAUUUUUUUGUUGAAUUUGUACUGCCAUUUUCUAUGCUAUUAAUGUGAGAUUUCUCUUAUAAAAGCCUAUCAGAUUUGGAGAGAUUAUUUUCUCCUCUAGACCAGCAUCAAAGAUUCAUAGUUAAAUGGCGACAUCAGGUUUGUUACAAUGUCUUCCUUCUGCAAAAAAUUCCUUGUAGAAAUCUGUAGGUUAUUUACUGUUUUCUGCAACUUUUAGUAUUGGAGGUUUGGAAGAUUGUGGAACCAUAAGUACUACCAAUAGACAAGUUAAAAUGUGUUAAAUAUUUAAAUUAAAGGCUUUUAAGUCAAUUUUGUAAAUAUUCUUAUUAAAUUAAAUUAUGUUUUUAGCAUUUUCAAACCAAUAGAUGUUGGUAUUUUAGAUUUUUUUAUGGAAUAGGAUUUUUGUAGUUAUCAUGGAGAAACUAUUUUUUUUAGGAAGAUCAGUUAUUAUUUAAUUAAUUACUCAGAGAACUGCUAAUUUUGCAUUGAUGACUUCUCAUAAGGAGGGAGGUUACCCAGGUGAGUACAAUACCAUUAUACAUCUUUUUUUCAAGUUUAGUUAUGUCAGUGGUCAUAAAAUUAGUGGGAUAUACAUAGAACAUAUGUAAAUUUUUAAUGGAUUUUUCAUGUUUUCAAAAGAACUUAUCGAGGAGGCUACUGCUUUGCUAUACCAUAUGUUCAAGAUUACGCCACUUCAAUAGAAAGGUUAGCUCUUUCUGGAUUAUAAUCUCUAAAACUUGAAAUAUCCAUCUUCUUUAGUAGUUUCAAUAGAUGUUUGUUCUCAUUGAGUUUUUCUUAUAUUGUUUUAUGAUUAUUCUUGUUUGAUUUACUCCCUUUUGCAUAUCUUUAGGUUCCUAAGGCCUUCUAUUGGAGAAAGUAAUGGAUAAUUGUCUUAGGGUUAAUUGGGGUUUAAUUUUUUUUAGAUAUAUUUGAGGUUUUCAGUUUAAGAUAAGGUUAUAAUACUUGAUUUGUGAGCUUGGGUUUGUUCAAUCAGUAAAAUGAGUUAAGAAAGUAAUGGAAAUUGGUCUAGCUGCUUUUCUGGAUCUGGCUGAUGCCAUUUUGGCAAAUGGAAUGUUCAGCCUCUAUGAUCAAGCACAAAUUGCUUGACUUGCUUGAGUAGAUUGAGAAACAUUUGCAUUUUUGCAGAAAGACAACCUUUAGAAAGAUGCAAUGGGAAUCUCCAGUGGCUGGUGAUCAUGAACUUGCCAGCAGGUUGCUUGUUUACUUUAUUGAAAAGAAUCUUUUGUUGAAUUGAUUGGCGGAAGGCAAAUGAGAAUGUGUGAGGAACUUAAAGACCUUCUAAAGAUCUAUUAAUUUUGCAUUGAUGAUGUCUCAAAAGGAUGGAGGUUAUCCAGGUGAGUACAAUACCAUUAUACAUCUCUUCAAGUUUUGUUAUGUCAAUUGGUUGUAAAAGUAGUGAGUUAUAUACAGAACAAAUGUAAUUAUUUAAUGGAUUUUUCUUUUUGUUUUCAAAGGAACUUAUCGAGGAGGCUACUGCUUUGCUAUAACUUAUGUUGAAAGAUUUGCUACUUUAAAAGAAGGAUUAGCUCUUUUCAGAUUACAUUCUCUAAAACUUUAAAUAUCCAUCUUCUUUAGAAUUUCAUUAGAUGUAUGUUCUCAUUGCGUUUUUCUUAUAUUGUGUUAUGAUUGUUCUUGUUUGAUUUUUUUCCCUUUUGCAUAUCUUUAGGUUCCUAAGGCCUUCUAUUCGAGAAAGUAAUGGAUAAUUGUCUUAGGGUUGCAUCGGGGUUUAAUUUAUUUGGGAUAUAUUUGAGGUUUUGAGUUUAAGUUAAGGUUAUAAUACUUUAACCGCAUAUUAAAGUUGUUGCAGCUUUUGUAGAAAAUAGGGAGUUUGACAAAAUCUUGAUUUAAUCAAAAUAGGUGAUUGCAACUUUUUUUUUUUUGAAUUUGUACUGGCAUUUUCUAUAUUAUUAACGUGAGAUUUCCGUUAUAAAAGCCUAUCAGAUUUCGGGAUAUUAUUUCUCGUAUAGAACAGCAUCAAAAUUUCAUGGUUAAAUGGCGUACUCAGGUUGGUUAGGAUGUUUUCCUUCUGCAAAAAUUUCCUUGUAGAAAUCUAUAGUUUAGCUACUGUUUUCUACAGCUUUUAGUAUUUGAGAUUUGAAAGCUUGUGAAAUCAUAAGUGCAACUGAUACUGGUUGUACAUGUGCAAAAAAGUUAUAUGCUGACCGAUAAUGGUUUAUAAUUUGAAAAUUUUCUCGCUUGAUAAUCAAUCUAAGCAAAGAAGAACCUUUUGUAGAAUUGGUUGGAGGAAGGCAAAUUGGAAUGUGUGAGGAAUUUGGAGGCCUUCAGAAGGUUUGAUUUCUACUAGCCUAAUUUUUUUUUUACUUAACAAAUUGUGCAUGAUUUGACCUUUUUUUUUUUACUUUUUCUAGUGGUAAACUAUGUUUUCAUUAUAUAUUGUGGACGAUGAUCUUGCAUAAAAGCAUAUAUUAAAGUUGUUGCAGCUUUUGUGAAAAAUAGGGAGUUUGACAAAGUCUUGAUUUAAUCAAAAUAGGUGAUUGCAACUUUUAUUUUUUUGGAAUUUGUAUUGGCAUUUUCUAUGCUAUUAAUGUGAGAUUUCUCUUAUAAAAAGCCUAUCAGAUUUGGAAAGGUUAUUUUCUCCUCUAGAUCAGCAUCAAAGAUUCAUAGUUAAAUGGCGUUUGUUGCAAUGUCUGUUACAAUGUCUUCCUUCUGCAAAAAAUUCCUAGUCGAAAUCUACAGGUUAGUUAUUGUUUUUUGUAGCUUGCAGAGAAUUCUAAACGGACUAUCUAUCUUAGGUUGUAACUUCUAAAACUUCUCUUGUGGAAAUCUACACCAAAUCACCUUUUUUGAACUUCACGUCUUUGAUGCUUGUUUGUUGCUUUUUUGUAUUUUUCAUUUUGCUGUAAAAUCUUAGUUCUCAUUUAUUUAUGUAGUCAUUUGAUAUCCUUAACUAUUUAUUUUGCAUCUUCACUAAAUUGUUUAUUAGUUGAGAGAAGAACUAAAUGUGAAGGGUUGAUUGGAUUCUUAUCAUAAAUCACCUCAAAAGGGCUCCAACUAGUGGUUUGGUUGGUGAGUAGUUGUAAACAAACUAUACUUAAGGUAAAACAAGAUUUUAUUGCUUGAUAUUUUUUCUCACAACUUUUUAAAUGGUUGUCCAAGUUGCAGUUGGUUACAAGCUUCCUCUAAAAGAUACGUCAAAAAUGACUAAAAAACUUGAAAUCUCGAUUAGAUAUUAUGAAUCUAGGAUACAGAACUUUUUUUGAUAAAUAAGUAUGAAAUAUAACAAAAAGUUAAAAACUUUGUAUAAAAUGAUUUUUAUAUCACAAUUUGAAAUUGUGUAAAUAGUUUUUAUGCUCAUGAUUGUUCAAAAACAGAUUUUGAUAUUUUAAACUCCAAAGUCUUUUACAACUUACACUUAAAUGUUGUGAAAAAUUAAAAUCAAUGCAAUUUAUCAUGUUUUUUUGCUUGAGCAUGUUUAAAAACAUUAGAUUUAAAAUAUUUAAAUUCAAUUUCAUUUCAAAAUUUGCUAGAAUAGUAUUCAUACUUGUGCAAAAUGAAAUUGUGCAAAUGAUUUUUAUGUUCAUAAUUGUUCAAAAAUAGAUUUUGAU